rnacentral:rRNA from 1 species
GAUGAACGCUGGCGGCGUGCCUAAUACAUGCAAGUCGAGCGAACAGACGAGGAGCUUGCUCCUCCGACGUUAGCGGCGGACGGGUGAGUAACACGUGGAUAACCUACCUAUAAGACUGGGAUAACUUCGGGAAACCGGAGCUAAUACCGGAUAAUAUAUUGAACCGCAUGGUUCAAUAGUGAAAGACGGUGUUGCUGUCACUUAUAGAUGGAUCCGCGCCGCAUUAGCUAGUUGGUAAGGUAACGGCUUACCAAGGCGACGAUGCGUAGCCGACCUGAGAGGGUGAUCGGCCACCCUGGAACUGAGCCACGGUCCAGACUCCUACGGGAGGCAGCAGUAGGGAAUCUUCCGCAAUGGGCGAAAGCCUGACGGAGCACCGCCGCGUGAGUGAUGAUGCUCUUCGGAUCGUAAAACUCUGUUAUUAGGGAAGAACAAAUGUGUAAGUAACUAUGCACGUCUUGACGGUACCUAAUCAGAAAGCCACGGCUAACUACGUG